rnacentral:snoRNA from 1 species
AAGCAACACCCUAUGACAGAUUGUCAAAGUAGUCUAGCACAAUUUGAGCAAGAAAGUCUAACCUAUUCCGGCACUCUCUCCUCUAUGAGACGGCCCGUUACAUAGACUUGAACAGU